GGACUACCGGGGUAUCUAAUCCUUUUCGCUACCCACGCUUUCGUGUUUCAGUGUCAGGAAUGGCCCAAUGUGCUGCCUUCGCUUUCGGUGUUCCCCAUGAUAUCAACGGAUUUCACCCCUACUCCAUGAGUUCCACACAUCCCUGCCAUCCUCUAGCCGUGCCGUUUCAACCGCUUUCCCCGGGUUAUGCCCGGGUCUUUAACAAUUGACUAACACAACCACCUACACACCCUUUACGCCCAAUGAUUCCGGAUAACGCUCGGGGCACUCGUAUUACCGCGGCUGCUGGCAC
rnacentral:rRNA from 1 species